rnacentral:rRNA from 1 species
AGCGAACGCUGGCGGCAGGCCUAACACAUGCAAGUCGAGCGCCCAGCAAUGGGAGCGGCAGACGGGAUAGUAACACGUGGGAACGUACCUUUCAGUUCGGAACAACCAAGGGAAACUUUGGCUAAUACCGAAUACGCCCGUAAGGGGAAAGAUUUAUCGCUGAAAGAUCGGCCCGCGUCUGAUUAGCUAGUUGGUGAGGUAAUGGCUCACCAAGGCGACGAUCAGUAGCUGGUCUGAGAGGAUGAUCAGCAUCACUGGGACUGAGACACGGCCCAGACUCCUACGGGAGGCAGCAGUGGGGAAUAUUGGACAAUGGGCGCAAGCCUGAUCCAGCCAUGCCGCGUGAGUGAUGAAGGCCUUAGGGUUGUAAAGCUCUUUCGUCAGGGAAGAUAAUGACGGUACCUGAAGAAGAAGCCCCGGCUAACUUCGUGCCAGCAGCCGCGGUAAGAC